rnacentral:rRNA from 1 species
GGAUCUCUUGGUUCUGGCAUCGAUGAAGAACGCAGCGAAAUGCGAUAAGUAGUGUGAAUUGCAGAAUUCAGUGAAUCAUCGAAUCUUUGAACGCACAUUGCGCCCCUUGGUAUUCCAUGGGGCAUGCCUGUUCGAGCGUCAUUUGUACCCUCAAGCUUUGCUUGGUGAUGGGUGUUUGUCCUGUCCUUUUGCGACUGUUACUCGCCUUAAAGUUAUUGGCAGCCGGCAUAUAGGCCUUUGGAGCGCAGCACAAUUUGCGAUCUAAGCCCUUAUACUGGCAUCCAUCAAGCCUUUUUAUCACUUUUGACCUCGGAUCAGGUAGGGAUACCCGCUGAACUUAAGCAUAUCAAUAAGCGGAGGA